UUCCACUCUCCAGGUCCACAGUGUUACUGACUCCUGGAACCUGGCUGGCCCACCUGUGAUUUCGCCCUGCGUUACCAUCUGGGCGUUCUACUCCAGCUGCAGAUUCCUGAGACCGUCUGACUUCACAGCACAUCUGUCUUUGCAGUACUCAACAAACAGUUCUGGUGUUCUCAGGUACCCGCGGCAGAGGUGACCAUUUUCACUUAGCAGAUGAACCAAGGGAGGCAGGAGCAUGCGGGCUCAAGCUGUUGGUGGAAGAGUAGGAAAGACUGCACUGGGACGGCAGGGCUCCCAACUUCAGACCCGGUCGACAGAAAAGCACGAGGCACCGCUUUUCAGAAAACAGAACCCCAACAGGUGGAGAGGACCAGUGCUGAGCUGCAGAGGACGCAGAAUGACGCGUUCUGGUACAAGCCAAGAUGGCCCAGGACAACUUCCACUGCCCUUGAGGUCCUUGCCAAGGUCCUGGGAAGAAGCCCCACCGAAGAGGCAAUGGCUAGGGGCCUUGGGGCCCCUAUUUCGUUGUUCAGGAAACCCCAGUGUUGCUAACAAAGCUGGAGGUGCCACAGUCGCCCCCAGCCCCCACUCUACAGGCUUCCUCUUUCUUCAUCUGUUUCCGACACUUAUAAAUGUGCUUCCUCUCUCUAUGUAAAUUUGGUUUAAAUGGCACAGCGAAGUCUUGUAAUGAGGCCAUUAAUAACUGGUCUUUUAACAGGCUCUUCUCGGCUUCCUGAUUCAAGAAUCAAUUCUAAUCUAAACAAACAGUGAUGUCUGGAUUUGCUGGUGUAAGGGCAGACAAAUGGGCUUUGUUUGGGGCAGGCUGUGAGGUUCGUUUUUAUUCUCAGCCAAGUGAAGGCCACAAGCAGGCCUUGAUAGCAAAACCAAGCUUAGAAACUCGAGAUUCAA